UACGGGGGGGGCAAGCGUUGUUCGGAAUUACUGGGCGUAAAGGGCUCGUAGGCGGCCAACUAAGUCGGAUGUGAAAUCCCCAGGCUCAACUUGAGAACUGCGUCCGAUACUGGCAGGCUUGAAUCCGGGAGAGGGAUGUGGAAUUCCAGGUGUAGCGGUGAAAUGCGUAGAUAUCUGGAGGAACACCGGUGGCGAAGGCGGCAUCCUGGACCGGUAUUGACGCUGAGGCGCGAAAGCUAGGGGAGCAAACGGG
rnacentral:rRNA from 1 species